UCUAUUUUUUUUCUUUUACGUUGUAGGCAAUGGUCAGAAAAUAAGUGUGAAAUUCCAAAAAAGACCCUUUUACAAUUACAGCUUAUCGUGUACGCACUCAUGGAAGACGGCAAGAUAGAAAGUGGCGUGUUGCUAGGGCUGGUAGAUAAGAUUUUAACUCUCUUCCUGAAUAAGGAGGCAGCAAUGGCGAAGGGGGUCCAUGCAAGAAGGACCCAUGUAUUUAAUUUAAAAUAGCAUCUUAAAGUCGUCAACAAAAAGGAAACUUUCCCUGUGUUUUACCACCCUUGGAUGGCUAUCAAGAAGAAUUAAAAAGAGCAACGACUUCAAAUUACUACCCUGUGGCACAGCAGAAACUGCAGAAAAACCCUCAGACAUUGAUUUUGCAACUUUAAAAACCUGUUGUAGUGAGGUCAGAUCUUAAAGUCAUCAACAAAAAAGGAGACUUUCCCAGUGUUUUACCACCCUUGGAUGGCUAUCAAUAAGAAUUAAAAAGAGCAACGCCCUCAAAUUACUACCCUGUGGCACAGCAGAAACUGCAGAAAAACCCUCAGACAUUGAUUUUGCAACUUUAAAAAUCUGUUGUAGACAGGUCAGGUAUGUUUUCAAAUUGUAGCGUUUUUACCGUUAAGGUGUAAAUUAAAACACUCGAUGUUCAAAAAUAGUUAACCGAUUUAUUUUAUACGUACACAAUAAACACGAUAACUUAAGACUACUUGAAAUAUUUAUUUACUACUACAGUAGGCUCGCGUUAAUGUGAACUCAAAAAAUUUCGACUUAGUUCGCAUUACUGAAAUGUUCACAUUAUAGAGAUUAUAUUAAAAAUAGCUAAAAUUAAAAUAAAAGGGAACUACAUUGUACUUUAUUUAUUUUUGUAUUUAUUUAUAAAUUUAUUUAUUACAGUUUUAAGCAUUAUACAAAAGUUUUAUUUAAAAAAAGAUGUAAUUUUUGUUUGCACUUUUUUUGCGACAGGUUUAAUGCUACAGCCUUUUCUUCUAAACCUUUUAGUGUAAUAAUGUCCUUUAUGUCGACAUAGUUUUGACUGGCCCAUUGUGUGACAAUUUUCAAGGCUGCAAGAGCCUCUAAAUGCGUAACUUUUUUUUCUUCAAAAGUUAAUAUCUCGCAGUCACUAUCUUCUGAAUCAUUGCUACCGAGAUUUUCCUCCACUGCGUCUGUAUUCCAUUCCUCAAUGUCUUUGGGAUUAUGAUCAAUCUAAAAACAAUCAUAUCUCAAAGAAAUUCUAAAACUAUUACAGACUUUUCUUUUAAUUUCCAAAAAUCGGAAAUUAAAAGGAGUAACUAGCACUAAAUAAUACCUGUUCAAUUGUUUGAAGCAAUGUGGUUUCAUUAACUGUACCUACUCUAACAUUAUUUUCCCGCAUCUCUUUUAGUCGAGCUAAAGGUAGGUCAUCCUCCUCCAAAUUUUUUCCCAAAAUAUUAUUCCAACAAGAAAUUACUGAAGGCUCUAUUUUUUGCCAGGCCAUAUGCAAUUGCAUAAUAGCAUCUCUUAAAGUUAUAACUUUUAGGGCCUCAGCUACUCCUUGACCCUUUGAUACAAUUGAACUUAAUAGGCCUUUUUUGUAAAAUAGUUUGGUUAUUCGCAAAACAUUUUGGUCUAAUGGUUGAAUUAAUGGUGUAACAUUUGGGGCAUGUAGACAACAAAAAUGUGUCCAUUAGAAGUUUUUAAUUCUUCUGCCGGUGAAUGCGAAGAGGCAUUGUCUAACAGGAGAACGGCUUUUAAAGGAAAGUUUUUGCUUUGUAAAAAUGAUUUAACCUAAAAACCCAAUUUAGUCUUAAAAAAUUAAAAAGCAAACAAAACUUUCACUUACCUCUGGAACAAAAUGCUUAAAAAAACAAUUUUUAAAAAUUUCCUGCGUCAUCCAGGCAUUUUUAGUGCUUUUAUAGAUGACUGGAUUAUCAAAUCCUUUAAAACAUCUGGAUGAUUUUGCUUUUCCUAGUACUAAAGGCGUUAGUUUGUGCGAUCCUGUAGCAUUUGUGCACCCCAAAGGAGUUAUUCUUUGUUUAGCUAUUUUUGGACCAAGCGCCGCUUUUUCAAAAAUUGCAACAUAGGUUUUAUCUGGCUAUAACUUUCAAUAUAAACCAGUCUCAUCUGCAUUAUAAAUUUGAUCUUCACUAAGCUGCUUCAUCCUUUUUCUUAAGCCUUCAAUAAAGGGAUUUACAAGGUGAGGCUGCGAGGACAACUUUUCACCUGCAAUUUUAAGCAGCCUUAUACCAUAUCGCCAUUAAAAUUUUUGAAGCCAUCGAUCGCUUGCAUUAAAUUCAUCGUUGAGUUUUAAUUUUCUAUGUAAAUCUAGAGCCUUUUCUUUAAGCAUAUCACCCGUAACUGGCAAAUUUCGUUCACGCUUUUUGGUAAACCAUUUAUACAGGAAAGUUUCCAUCUUGGGGUUUUCUGCACUUCUUCAAAGUGCAUUUUUUAUUUUAUUAGGUCUUAAACUCUCUCCAACAACUUUUAGAAUUUUUUCUUCUUUAUUUUUAAUUGCACAAAUAGUUGAUUUUGCUAUUUGAUAUUUAUUUGCUAGUGUAGUAACACUCAUACCAUUUUUGUGCUCUUCCAAAAUUGUUGAUUUCUCAUAGUUAAACAUUUAAACCAUUUUAAAAGGCCACUGCGCAAGAUGCGACACUCUCUCUUAUCUAAUAAACAUCAACUAAAUGACCAAACAAGGUUUCAAAUGCGUAAACCCAAUAUCCACUAACAAGCCUAGACAAGUCUACACAGAUUUCUUAAAAUUACUAAAGAUUUCUUAAAAUUCACAUUAUCGAAAUAUAAGUUUGUUCACACUAUAGAAUUAACAUAGAAAAUUAUUGGUGUUCACAUUAAUGAGUUGUUCAUAAAAUCGUAAGUUCACGUUACCGCGAGUAUACUGUAUUUAUGUCAAUUUUAAAAGUCGCGCCAAUGUUCUGAAGAAUUAACUUGACUCCUAGAACCUAGCGGUUUUUAUUAUAGAGAAGGAAUAAAAAUUAAAGUUUAUGAAAGAAAACUCAAUUUUUUUAAAAUAACGUACAGUGACGCUAUAAUGGUACGUUAGGGUCUUAAGUAUGUCUGAACAAUACAAAAUGUGUAUUUGCAAUUCACUACAGAAUAUUGCUCCAGUGUCGUCCUAGAUGUUCAAAAUGGGCGCCACUAUGUUCACGCGUAGCUGCAAUUUUUCCCUCGUAGAAAUGACUACACAUUCAAUUUCCUCUCUAGGCAAACCAUGAAUCGCAUUUUGAAUUCUGAGAUCAUAUUUUCUGAAUGUAGGCCUGGUCCGAAAAACGAGAUCUUUUACUCUCCCCCAGAGGUAAAAAUCUAAAACAGUAAAGUCGGACCUGGCUGGCCAUAGAAACAGGCUUCCUCUUUCUAUACAUCGAGUAUAGGAAGUAUGGUAAUUCAGCAUUUAACACCUAAAUGCAGCAAUGGGUAUGCUGCAAUUAGGGGUUCUCGCAUAUUUCUUGCAAAAUGCGCUGGACAAUCAUCAAGUUGCAAAAAUAUAUUGCGCCUAAGCUCCAGAUUUACAUCUCCCAAUAAAAUUGGCAAUGUGUUUCUGCGGAACUCUAGAUGUUACCUCUUAAUGCCUCGCCAAAGACAUAUGGUCCUAUAAUUGUGCCACCUAUUAUACCACACCAUACAUUUAUACUACAGCGUCCUUGAUGCUGAACUUCUUGCUUCCAAUGGGGAUUUAUGAAGACCAAUAAUGUAUAUUAUGGCGAUUAUGGCGAAUUCUGUAUAGAAAUUGAUAGUUUUCGUUAACCAUUCCCAGAAGCCAAUGGCAAUAAUGCAAGUUGUCUAUCGAAAUCCGUAUCUGUCAAAGCUUAGUGCAGAACGACAUGAUAGAAAUGUAAUCUGAAAGUAAACUAAAUUAUUAAAUUAAGACAUUUUAUCAUCGAACCUUGAAAAAAGACAAAUAAAUAACAAUAAAUAUCGGUGUAAUAUCGUCUUAUUAAAAUUAUAUGGUAACUAAAUAUUCUUUCUUCGAUAUUUCAGGCUAUGAAUAAGGUAUCGAGAUGCGGUUUCCACUGGCCUAUUUAGCUAUCGUUUCACUACAUUUAUAAGAAAAAAAAGUCAUAUUGCAUUUAAUUUUUUUUUUAAUUUAAUUUUUUAGAGAAUUUUGCAAUUUUCUGUUAUUAGAUCAAAAAACGCGCUCUAGCGGCAUUACUAAGAACUAGACAUAUCACAGAUAAGACGAAUUUGAUGGAACAAUAAAUGUUUUUUCUAACGAGACCAAGUUUAUUAAAAUCCGUUCAGUCGUUUAAGAGUUACAGCUGUCAAAAAAAAAUUGAAUUACCCCCCACCACUUUUUUUUAAUAGAUACGUCACAAAGGGUUAAACAAAAAUUACUCGAGUAAAGCUGAGCUUUAAAAAGCAUAAAUUUUUUUGUAAUAUUUACUGAGUAGAUAUCAGUGAAAAAUCACUUAAAAAGUUUAAUAUGGCGGUUACGCCCCCUGGCGACCAUCUUGGAAAUCUAAAAAUAUUUUCAACGGUAUUCUUUUGGCCACUUUAGUCAUAAAAUUUUUUACCGCAAGUUUCUACGACGAAUAGUUUCCAAAAUACAGCACUUUGCAUUCUUAUCUGGCCACCCUGUACGUUUAAUUGAUUGGAGAUUGUUUUUAAUAAUAUUUGAAGCAUUUUAAAUUUCCUUGUGGAGUCCUUCUACGGUUUCUACUGGUGCACAUAGGGGUAUUUCAUUAAUCUAUGCGGCCAAAAUUAUUUUUUUGUUUUUAUCUAUGCCAAAGGAUAUUUUAAAGUAAAUAACAUCUUAUUUUAAUAAGUCAAGUUGAUUUAAUAUAAAAAAAUUAAUAAUAAUAAAAUUAAUAAUGAUAAAAAACUAACAUUCGUCAAAUAAAAUAUUAUCUUCGCUGUCUGAUGGAUCUGCAGUAGUUACGCUGUCUGGAGGACUGGCAGGCAUCAGAAGUGUUAUGGUUUCUGGUAGAAAAGAUCCCAAUUUUCUUCUGUUUACUUUCGUUAUGCCACUUAAUACCGGAUCGGAACUUAAAAGAAGCCGAUUAAAAAUGUCCCUGUUGCAGUCCUUCCUGGAGAAUUUUCGGGCAAAAUCUUGACGGUAUGCUCGGAAAUGUUUAUUUCGGGCUUCUGCAGCCUCUUCGGAGAGCUGUUCAAUGGGCAAUAAUGCAUUUUUUAUUAUAACUGCACCAUGAAUAAGUACUUUAUGCAUAGUUGGACUCAUUGGGUGCCAAGGGUACAGACUAACAUAUAACCUAGCAGUUUCCAAUGCAUAUAUGUUGUAUUUUUCAUGAUUAAUUAUAUAACCACUUGAAAUUACUUGCAAAAUUACUUUUAGUCUAUAGAUUAGCUCAUAGCUAAUGCCAGUUAUUUCUGAUGACAGUUUUGGGUCCUCGAAAAACCUCCUGCUCGUGUUGCCGUCAUUUGUAUUGCCGAAAUUAGCCUUUGGCAUAUCCACUAAGAGUCCAGUUUCUCGGCGAAAUCUUUCCUGAAUUUCCAGCUUUCUCUCCUUUUCCAUACUUUUUUCUGUUUCGGUCUUUCGUUCUCUGUAUUUUUUCACCGGCAAUUUAUAUGCCAAGUGGAGGAUAGUUUCGAAAAAGCGAAUUCUCGCAUGUAAAAUUGAGAGUCCAAACUCUAAAGCUUCAGAACAGACUGGCUUUUCUAGAUUUAACUGGUUAAAUUCUUUGGAGGUUGCACCACAUAUAUAGCACUUGCUGGUUGAUUUAGUGCCUGUAGCUGCAUUGCAGACCUUUCCAUCUACCAUUGUCAUGAUAAACACAUGCCUAACUAACAAUUCUUUUUCUUGUAAAUUAACACGUGUUGGUUGAAGUCCCUGUAUAGACUUAUUUAUAUACUCAAUUUCUUCCUGCGUAACAUCUGUACUUUCUUUUACGAAUCGAAACCUUAUUGGUCUACAGUACCUGGGAGAUGAGGGAGUAGGAUUUUCCCAGACUAUAUUUUUACCUUCUUUACCACAAACUAGUCUUAGAGGUACAAAACAGCUUUGAAAUAUGUUAGCGUCUGAGUCGGCGUCAUUUUCAAAUUUUUGUUUGAAUUGACAUUGUUGUGAGCCAUCACAGCCCCAUUUGCAAAUAACCUUUAAACUGUCUUUUUCUUCCUCUCUCAGCGUUAUUAGGACUUCGUUCAGGUAGGUAGAUAAACGCAUUACGGUGAGAUCAACCAAAGCUUGCAAAUUACUUUCGGCACUGGUAUUGGUUACGUUGCAUUCUUCUGUUGGUGGGUAACAUUUUUGUUUUUCUUUUUGUAAAAGACUGUAACAAGGAAAAAACUUUUUGUUCGUAUUUCGGAUUACCUCAUUUUGUCUUUGAGUUAAAUCUGCUUCCACAAACAUUGAUAGCGCCUCCAAUGGAGCAAGUUGGGUAGGCUCUUUGGUUUUUGUUUCUGAAAACGCCUUCUUAUAUUUCGUAGCACGUAACGGGCUACUUGUGGUUAUUUCCUUUAGUAUGUCGGAAGCAUCGCGUUUUCCGCUUUUUCGCAACUCAACCUGAGCAGCAUGAAUGAUAACUUCCUUGGCUAAUGAAGCCCGUAUUUCUUCGGUUUUUCUUCUUUUAGUCCUUUCACUUGAUUCUUCAAACAUCUUAGGUGGUCGGCCUGGCCUUUUUUGAAUAACCACGGGAAUUUCAAUAGUUCCUUCUAACCUUGAUUGAUUGUAUUUUAAAAACACGUCUUCCUUCUUAUGGGCCUUUACCCACCUUUGCUUCGUUUGUGAUUUAAAACGUGCAAAACUGGCUUUAAAACUUUCAAUUUGAUCUUCUGUAAAAUUGUCACAGGACAAAAUUUGAUCCUUCAAAGCAUUUAGUUUUUCUUCCAAACUUGGUAGACCCAGGGCCUGCAUACGGUCGAACAUGUUUCUACGGGUCACUAGUUUUACUCCCGAGGGGCCUUGGCAAUCUAUAACAAAAAAAUGUUCGCCUGUUAUUACUCUUACAAUAACAAUGUUUUUAUUUUAUUUUUAUUCAGAUAAAAACAAAUCAAUUCAAUGUGCCCUAGUAGUACUUAUCCGCGCUUUUCCGCGACUAAUUAUAAAAACAUUUACUUCUACAGGACUAAAACCUUUAAUCGUAAUAGAAAUAAUAGCUGGAUCUAGGUGGAAAGUAUAUCAAAUCCAUUAGUAAGCAAAAAUAAUACCCAAAAAAAUCUUCAUAAUAUUUGUUACGGUUUAAAUUUUAUUAACUAAAUAAAAAUAUUUUAGAACAAUUUAAAUUAUAUCGAAAUUAGUGGAUUCUUACCUGGUCUAUCCAAAUCCAUCACUACCGCGUCCAAAAUAAAGGCACAACUAUUAUUAAUAUUCACUGAAAGCGUAGCGAAUUGAGAAAAAUGCGCACGUCUCGAGAGCCACCAACCUUCUCUACAAAUGUCGAGAACGUACGUCGUAGCUCGGGAAUCCCGUUUGAGAUAUCCCCAAUACUGAAUUAUCCCAUCCCAAUGCAUUACAAAGCGCUGGUUUCGUGUUCUUGAAAAAAUUCUUGGGACAUUUAUGAGCCAGCAAUUUCGAAAAGGUUAAAAUUAUGGCAUCAUAAUACAUUUCAUAAUGUAGGUAUUUACAUGUACGCUGGCGAAAAUACAAAUUUGCCUUUUUUUGUAAAUGACAGCCUUUUUUUUAAUACAAAAAACAACCAUACUUACGGCAUUUAAAGUAAAUGACAUUGUUUAGUCGCUUAAAAUCACAUUUCUGGGAACCAGUUCACUAAAUGACUACAUAUUUCUCGAUUUUUCCCAAAAUAUUAGGUCUUACUUUCAUAAAUACUCGAGAAAAAUUUAGACAAAACAAAAAUUCCAAUAAAAUCGCUUAAAUUUUGUAAAACCUUCUGUCUCUUUUCUUUUUAUUAUAAAGGUGUAAUUACGCAUGUCUUAGAUAACAUGGUUAAAUAUUUCAAUUGUUAUUGUUAAAUGUUUAAAUUUGCUGAGUGCUUUUCAAAACAAAAACGAUGGCUUGUGAUAGUUGUGCUUUUAGAAUCAGCGAAUUUUUAGUGAUGUAGUUUCAAUCGCCGAAUACUGGUGGAUUGUUUAGUGAACCAUGGUGUGUUAAGAUCUACGAACUGUAACACCUGAAUCAACCAACACGACCUAAGCUCCCUCCAUGUGUUCAACAUUUACGAGCCUUCUAUAUACUUUUUCAUACGAAUAGAAUCUCAAAAUGUUAGAAAAUAUGAAGGUUACGAACCUUUGCCUAAGCGAUGAAUGUUUCAUCGCUGGGUAUUAGCUUGUGUAGAAAUAGUGAAACCCGUUCACUAUUUUAACGUGAAAACACUGUUAUCAUUUUGGCAGAUAAAUAUAGAUGUCUUCUGGGAUUUCUCUUCUUAUAUAGGAUAUACUUCUUAGACGUAUUUGUUUCUUAUUACUUACAUUGAAGUAUAUUUUAAUAAAAUAGUUAUCUAAGAUUUAAAGAAAUAUACCUGAAUAGCUUCAACCCUUUUUCCCAUAUAAAAAUAAAUUUCAGUAGUUUGUUUAUAUUUGUAGGUCAACAUGGCAACAUCGCCCUAGCUCAGUGGAUAAGCAGUAAACCAAGAACGUUUUUUUUUAGGGUUUUUUGACCUUUACUUUGUUCAAAAAGACCCUGUAGCUGCGUGCUGUAUUUAGGUAUGCAGUACAGAUGCUGUUUCACUAUUUUAUAGUUAAUUUACCUUACCCAGCACCUCUAUUCACUCCCGGGUUCCGUAAGCUUCUAGGGUAAAAGAGAUACAAAAAAAUAGCAGAAAACCGUUUUAUAAACUGUUACUAAAACUAGUAUCGUAAAUUGUUUUCAGUCUAUUAAACACCCAAAUUCACUUUCGUAGUUUUUUAUACUCUAUUUCAGAAGUGUGUAGAGCAAUAAAACCUCAUUAGGUAUGCAAAAGUGGUACCUGGUGAUCCACCAAUAUUUUAUGCCACUACCUUAGUUGGGUAUUAGUUUCAAUGUAAAAUUCUUUCUUUUCGUUGAUUGCAGGUAGUGCCACCCGGUUUUGGGUCAAUUUAUGAGUUUUGCCCAUUGUUACCCACUGAUAAACAUUGAAAACGGUUCGCCAAAGGCGACUGGGACUUGUUUUUUACCUUAUAAUUAAUGUACUUAAAUGCUAUUUUAUUUUAGAAAGUUACUUUUGUUUAAAUGGAAUAAUAUAUUUUUUUCACAAAUUUAUUGAACAUAAUAUGUAGAGUAAAACAGUUGAAAAUGUCACUUUUGGUUCUGGCACUUUUUGAACAGUGUAUAACAAUUUUAAAUUAUAAUAGAUUGUAGUCUUCUUCGUCAUCUGACGAACUGUCAUCACCUCUUGACAUUAUAAUUAAAGGAUCGACUGUCUGAUCGAUGAGGUUGUCAAGAUCCCACAUUUUGUCCUCUUGCUUAAUUACAUGCUGGACUGCUUUUCGCCAAUUCUCUGGUGUCGCUUCUUUAAUGGCUUGAUCAAACAGUAGUUUAACAUCUUUCAUUUUAAAAGUCGUGUUUUGUCUUGCUUUUACCUGCGCCCAUAUCAGUUCUAUAGGAUUUAGUUCGCAAUGAUAUGGCGGUAAGCGCAGUACAGUUAUAUUAUAUUUUUCGGCUAUAUCUUCCACGGCGUAUUUCAUGAAACGAGUUUUGUGUAAGUUUGCUAUUGCCAGCAGUUCUUUUUUUAUCAAAUUUGCUUCAAACGCAAUACCUUUUGCAGUCAGCCAAUCGAUAAUUUCUUGCUUUCUCCAACUUGAAGUUGGCGUCUUCUCUAUUCGCCGUGAAUGAUAGCUUGCGUUAUCCAUAACCACCACCGAAUUAGCCGGAAAAAAUUUUAUCAUUUCACCAAAAUAGUUCUCGAAAACGUCUGAGUUCAUGUCUUCAUGGUAAUCUCCUGUGCGAGUCGACUCAAAGGUUAGCAGACCUUCUUUUAAAAAUCCCUCUUCCCUUCCAAUAUGUGUGAUUAUAAGUCUUUUUCCUUUUCCCGAAGGUACUUUAAUACCCGUAGACAGGCCUUCUAUGAAAGCUUGGCGAGCACUGGUUAUAUUUUUGUCUUGCCACAUUUUUUGGACUAUAUAACCUUCGUUAAUCCACGUCUCAUCAAGAUAAAAAACUUUCUUUUGCUCCCUGCGGUACUGCUUGAUACUUCUCAAGUAUUGUCGUCUCCAACAAACAAUUUCGUCGCUCUCCAGUAAAAGUGCUUUGCGGUUAUGCUUUUCCCAGGCAAAAUCCAUAUUUUUUAAAGUUUUCCAUGAAAGUUUUUUACUUAUCAACGGAAUACUGUCAUCUCGGCCAAGCUCCAUUAAAAUUUUGUCUAGGGUGGGUAUUUCCUUUUUAAAAUAAAAAGAGUGAACUUUUCUUCGAAUUAUACAUUUAGCAUUUUCAUCAAGGACUUUUGUAGGUCGUCCUUGCUUUUGCUUGGGAGAUUCCACUUGACCUGCUACUUUUCUUUCCCGCAACAAUUUGAAAAUGGUGGACUUUCCAAUUCCACUCAUUCGAGAACAUUUUUCAACAAUUUCUUGCACAGUAAAACUAGGGUAAUCGUGUUUUAUGCAAUCAUGUACAUUUAAAAUAAUAACUUUUUCACUCAGCGAUAGUGGAGAAUUUUUAGUACAUCUUUUCGUUGGACUGAAUACCUCCAUUUUUUAAAUAUUGGGAUAAUAAUAUUGUGAUUACACUACAGCGUAGCAGUGACUACUAACGUUUAAAAUAUGAUUUAAAAGUAUUUAUAGUCUGUAUAUAUUACCUGACCCCAUUUUUGCAUGUUACAAAGCGU